rnacentral:lncRNA from 1 species
GGAGCGCGUUUCAUAACCUCUGAAAUGGGCAGUUCGGAGUUUGGAGGUGGGGGCGGGAAGGGAAGACGGGAGAGAGAGAGAGAAGACCCUACUUUUUCUGGGGGCUGCGAUUUUGUUUUGAAGUCCCCAACCAGGAGGAGGGAGUGGCGAUUGCUUGCGAAGCGCAGUUGAUGCAUUGCAAGAGGCCAAGUCUCCUGGGUCAGCUCUGCAUGUACUCGCAGGCAGCCCUUAGUCAACCUAUAGCCCUUCAGCUCGGCGUUGACUCUUCGUCGUUAUGCUUCCCCCGGUGAAAUGACGCUCCCGGAAAGUAUUUGCAUGCAGAGUACAAAAUGUUCCGGAUCUGAAAUGAUUGCUCAUGAAAUGAGCAGCGCGAGCAAUCCCAGGCAAGUUUGCUCGGAAGAACCAAAGUGCCAGGGAAAGGCGUAGCUGGUAGGUGAGCUGUCCCCUUACUUAGAGGGAGCAGGACCUAUGGAAGAACCUGGUGGAAGUGGCCUUUUGGGUGUGGUGUGGACAACGCAGCAGUAGGGGACAAUGGUGGCAUAAUUUACUGGGUGGCUGUCAGGCUUACUUGGGUGGCCAUGGGACAGCCUUCCCCUUGCACUAAAAAUGCACUAAAUAACAUGUAUCUGGUAACCUGUGAGCCAUCAGGAUAAUUCAGUUCCCCUGCUGUUUGUCCCCCAUCACAGGAGUGGAAUGGCCAAUCCAUAGGCCUGUUUAGGUCCCCCAGGCUUCCCCAUUUGGCCCACCAGACCAUUUGGGCCAAGGCACAACCCUGAGAUCAGGUGUGGGGCAGGCAGGGCUGGGCCAAAGGGAGGUCAGAAUUGGAAGAUGCUUUGAAGCCCCAAACAGUCAGCAGAUUGAACUUUAAAGUGCAAAUUGCAAGCACCAAUGAUCAGCUGAUUGUCAGUGCUUGAAGAUGAGUGGCACUAGAGAGUUCUGCUUUGGAAAGAAAGAAAAAAUGCUCCAGUUAAAGGAGCAUUAAGAGGAAGUUGCUGUAGGCCCUGAUGGGCAGUUACAGGGACCUUAGAAUCAUAGAAUCAUAGAGUUGGAAGAGACCACAAGGGCCAUCGAGUCCAACCCCCUGCCAAGCAGGAAACACCAUCAGAGCACUCCUGACAUAUGGUUGUCAAGCCUCUGCUUAAAGAUCUCCAAAGAAGGAGACUCCACCACACUCCUUGGCAGCAAAUUCCACUGUCGAACAGCUCUUACUGUCAGGAAGUUCUUCCUAAUGUUUAGGUGGAAUCUUCUUUCUUAUAGUUUGGAUCCAUUGCUCCGUGUCCGCUUCUCUGGAGCAGCAGAAAACAACCUUUCUCCCUCCUCUAUGUGACAUCCUUUUAUAUAUUUGAACAUGGCUAUCAUAUCACCCCUUAACCUCCUCUUCUCCAGGCUAAACAUGCCCAGCUCCCUUAGCCGUUCCUCAUAAGGCAUCGUUUCCAGGCCUUUGACCAUUUUGGUUGCCCUCCUCUUUGACCUUCUUUGUCAGCUGUUAAAGUUCAAUCAUCCAAUGUGAUUAGAACAUAAAGUGAUUGGCAGGUAGGUGCUCCCACUCUCCUGCCAAAGUUGAGAGGGUGAGGAGAAUCUACCAUCUUGAAUUCAGAAUGCAAUAAAACUGUAAUAGUC